UACAGAGGUCUCAAGCGUUGUUCGGAUUCAUUGGGCGUAAAGGGUGCGUAGGUGGUUUGGUAAGUUGAAGGUGAAAUCUCGGAGCUUAACUCCGAAACUGCCUUCAAUACUGCCGGACUUGAGGACUGUAGAGGAGAAUGGAAUUCACGGUGUAGCAGUGAAAUGCGUAGAUAUCGUGAGGAAGACCAGUGGCGAAGGCGAGUCUCUGGACAUUUCCUGACGCUCAGGCACGAAAGCCAGGGGAGCAAACGGG
rnacentral:rRNA from 1 species